rnacentral:rRNA from 1 species
UACAGAGGGUGCGAACGUUGCUCGGAAUUACUGGGCGUAAAGCGCAUGUAGGCGGAUCCAUAAGUCGGGCAUGAAAUCCCCAGGCUCAACCUGGGAACUGCGCUCGAAACUGUGGGUCUUGAGUGUCGGAGAGGAUGGCGGAAUUCCUGGUGUAGAGGUGAAAUUCGUAGAUAUCAGGAGGAACACCGGUGGCGAAGGCGGCCAUCUGGACGACAACUGACGCUGAGAUGCGAAAGCGUGGGGAGCAAACAGG